GACGAACGCUGGCGGCGUGCUUAACACAUGCAAGUCGAACGGAAAGGCCCUGCUUUUGUGGGGUGCUCGAGUGGCGAACGGGUGAGUAUCACGUGAGUAACCUGCCCUUGACUUUGGGAUAACUUCAGGAAACUGGGGCUAAUACCGGAGAGGAGCUCCUGCUGCAUGGUGGUGGUUGGAAAGUGUCGGCGGUUGGGGAUGGACUCGCGGCAUAUCAGCUUGUUGGUCGGGUAGUGGCUUACCAAGGCUUUGACGGGUAGCCUGCCUGAGAGGGUGAACGGCCACAUUGGGACUGAGAUACGGCCGAGACGCCUACGGGAGGCAGCGGUGGAGACUAAUGCACCAUGGGCGGAUGCGUGAUGCAGCUCCGCCGCGUGCGGAUCACGGUCUUCGGGUAGGAACCCGCUUUCGCGUGUGACGGAGCGUGAGUGACGGUACUGGGUAGAGAAGCACGGGCUAACUACGU
rnacentral:rRNA from 1 species